AAGACCAUAAUUUCAAGUCAUUUCUAUAGUUUGUUACUAGACAAGUUUCUCUGAAUGUGUAGAGUACCCAAAACCUUGAGGAGGAGGCAGGAAAAGAAGUCUCUUCCAGACCCUGCUUUCAAUUCUUCUGAGUGUAUAUCCAGAGGU
rnacentral:snoRNA from 1 species